rnacentral:lncRNA from 1 species
ACAAACUUAGCAUGUAACUCAUUCAGAAUAAGUUUAUCAACACACACGUACGAGCUUUCAAGCAAGACAAGGGGUGCAAUAUUAAGGCAUAAAUUUACAAGUCCACAAUUAAGCCAAGACCUUACACUCUCAAGUUCAUUCUAGUUUUUUUUUUGCAGGUGCGAACAUCCGGGGCUGCAUUCUGGCCUUUUUACCCAUCUUAGUCCUAACACUAAAAAAAGGAAAACCUACCUAACCCAAUUCAAGAAAAACCCUUGGAAAAGAAUCGUGGUCAAAAGAAAAACCAAGGGGGACUUAAUACACUACAUAAAUAAAGAAAAAUAAAAAAAAAAUAAAAAAAUCUACAUGGAAUACUUCCCUCAAGAUUACUGUCCAAGUGGUC